UUUGUCCUACGGGAGGCAGCAGUAGGGAAUUUUCGUCAAUGGGCGCAAGCCUGAACGAGCAAUGCCGCGUGAACGAGGAAGGUCUUCGGAUCGUAAAGUUCUGUUGAAGGGGAAAAAGAGCGGAGAGAGGAAAUGGUCUCCGAUUGAUAUUACCCUUCGAGGAAGUCACGGCUAACUACGUGCCAGCAGCCGCGGUAAUACGUAGGUGGCGAGCGUUAUCCGGAAUGAUUGGGCGUAAAGGGCGCGUAGGCGGCUUGCUAAGUCUGAUGUGAAAGGUACCGGCUCAACCGGUACACGCUCUGCAA
rnacentral:rRNA from 1 species